GUGGCCUACGGGGCGCAGCAGUGGGGAAUAUUGGGCAAUGGGCGCAAGCCUGACCCAGCAACGCCGCGUGAAGGAAGAAGGCUUUCGGGUUGUAAACUUCUUUUAAGAGGGAAGAGUAGAAGACGGUACCUCUUGAAUAAGCCACGGCUAACUACGUGCCAGCAGCCGCGGUAAUACGUAGGCGGCAAGCGUUGUCCGGAUUUACUGGGUGUAAAGGGAGCGUAGACGGCGGCGCAAGUCCGGAGUGAAA
rnacentral:rRNA from 1 species